AGCGAACGCUGGCGGCAGGCCUAACACAUGCAAGUCGAACGGAUCCUUCGGGAUUAGUGGCGGACGGGUGAGUAACACGUGGGAACGUGCCUUUUGGUUCGGAAUAACUCAGGGAAACCUGUGCUAAUACCGGAUGUGCCCUUCGGGGAAGGAUUUAUCGCCAUUAGAGCGGCCCGCGUCUGAUUAGCUAGUUGGUAGGGUAAAGGCCUACCAAGGCUACGAUCAGUAGCUGGUCUGAGAGGANGAUCAGCCACACUGGGACUGAGACACGGCCCAGACUCCUACGGGAGGCAGCAGUGGGGAAUCUUGCGCAAUGGGCGAAAGCCUGACGCA
rnacentral:rRNA from 1 species